AACGAACGCUGGCGGCAUGCCUAACACAUGCAAGUCGAACGAGACCUUCGGGUCUAGUGGCGCACGGGUGCGUAACGCGUGGGAACCUGCCCUUAGGUUCGGAAUAACUCCCCGAAAGGGGUGCUAAUACCGGAUAAUGUCUUCAGACCAAAGAUUUAUCGCCUUUGGAUGGGCCCGCGUUGGAUUAGCUAGUUGGUAGGGUAAAAGCCUACCAAGGCGACGAUCCAUAGCUGGUCUGAGAGGAUGAUCAGCCACACUGGGACUGAGACACGGCCCAGACUCCUACGGGAGGCAGCAGUGGGGAAUAUUGGACAAUGGGCGAAAGCCUGAUCCAGCAAUGCCGCGUGAGUGAUGAAGGACUUAGGGUUGUAAAGCUCUUUUACCCGGGAUGAUAAUGACAGUACCGGGAGAAUAAGCUCCGGCUAACUCCGU
rnacentral:rRNA from 1 species